GUAAAUCCUUUCCUCUCACUGU
rnacentral:miRNA from 1 species